rnacentral:rRNA from 1 species
UGGGGAAUUUUGGACAAUGGGCGCAAGCCUGAUCCAGCAAUGCCGCGUGCAGGAUGAAGGCCUUCGGGUUGUAAACUGCUUUUGUACGGAGCGAAAAGGUCUGCCCUAAUACGGUGGGCUCAUGACGGUACCGUAAGAAUAAGCACCGGCUAACUGCGUGCCAGCAGCCGCGGUAAUACGUAGGGUGCGAGCGUUAAUCGGAAUUACUGGGCGUAAAGCGUGCGCAGGCGGUUAUAUAAGACAGGUGUGAAAUCCCCGGGCUCAACCUGGGACCUGCAUUUGUGACUGUAUAGCUAGAGUACGGUAGAGGGGGAUGGAAUUCCGCGUGUAGCAGUGAAAUGCGUAGAUAUGCGGAGGAACACCGAUGGCGAAGGCAAUCCCCUGGGCCCGCACUGACGCUCAUGCACGAAAGCGUGGGGAGCAAACA